rnacentral:rRNA from 1 species
UGCAGUCGAACGGUAGCAGGAAGUGCUUGCACUUUGCUGACGAGUGGCGGACGGGUGAGUAAUACUUAGGAACAUGCCUUUGUGUGGGGGAUAACCAUUGGAAACGAUGGCUAAUACCGCAUAAUGUCUUUGGACCAAAGAGGGCUUUCGGGCUCUCGCGCAAAGAGUGGCCUAAGUGAGAUUAGCUUGUUGGUGAGGUAAAGGCUCACCAAGGCGACGAUCUCUAGCUGUUCUGGGAGGAAGAUCAGCCACACUGGGACUGAGACACGGCCCAGACUCCUACGGGAGGCAGCAGUGGGGAAUAUUGCACAAUGGGGGCAACCCUGAUGCAGCCAUGCCGCGUGUGUGAAGAAGGCCUUCGGGUUGUAAAGCACUUUCAGUUGUGAGGAAAGGUUGAUGGUUAAUACCCAUCAGCUGUGACGUUAGCAACAGAAGAAGCACCGGCUAACUCCGUGCCAGCAGCCGCGGUAAUACGGAGGGUGCGAGCGUUAAUCGGAAUUACUGGGCGUAAAGCGCACGCAGGCGGUUAUAUAAGCUAGAUGUGAAAGCCCCGGGCUCAACCUGGGAAUAGCAUUUAGAACUGUAUGACUAGAGUCUUGGAGAGGGGAGUGGAAUUCCAGGUGUAGCG